UACGUAGGCAGCGAGCGUUGUUCGGAAUUACUGGGCGUAAAGGGUGCGUAGGCGGCUUGUUAAGUCAGAGGUGAAAGUUUUCGGCCCAACCGGAAAAUGGCCUUUGAUACUGGCGAGCUGGAGUGCGUGAGGGGUGACUGGAACGAGUGGUGUAGCGGUGAAAUGCGUAGAUAUCACUCGGAAGGCCAAAGGCGAAGGCAGGUCACUGGUACGCAACUGACGCUGAGGCACGAAAGCGUGGGGAGCAAACAGG
rnacentral:rRNA from 1 species